UUAUAAUAAUAUUUGUAAAUAUUAUUAUAAUUAUAUUUGUAUUUAAGACAAGUAUUAAGACAAGACAGUAUUUGUAAAUAUAAUUAUCGUAAUAAUGAUAUCUACAAAUACUGUUUUGUUUAUUGGAUGACUGGGUGACUCAUGUAGGGAACUUUUGGAGAUUACCAACUUAAUGCUUGAUGAUGUUAUUUCCUCCAUUUACUACGAUUAAAAUAUUGUGAGAAAAUAGAUUUUUUAUUUGAAUGUGUUGGCAAAAAUCAUUAAAAUCUUACAGUAUCUUAACGUAUAAUAAUAUAAUAUUCUAAAAAAAUAUAAUUAUAUGAUAUUAUAAAAUAUAAUAGUUUUUUACAGCACUUAUUGAAACAAGAUAUGGUAUCAAGAAAGAGUUGCUUAAAGAAGUAGUUUUAACAACGAUUUAAAAGCUUUUAAAUCGGAGACAACCGUGAAUACAGACGAUACAUGAUUACGGAAUUGUUUAGAAAGUUGCUCAAUAAAAAUGAAAUUGUAAUGUGCUUUUUAUACAAAAUAAAAAGCAUAUGAAAUUA